UACAGAGGGUGCAAGCGUUAAUCGGAAUUACUGGGCGUAAAGCGUGCGUAGACGGUUAUGUAAGUCGGGUGUGAAAGCCCCGGGCUCAACCUGGGAAUUGCAUUCGAGACUGCAUAGCUAGGGUGCGGAAGAGGGAAGCGGAAUUUCCGGUGUAGCGGUGAAAUGCGUAGAUAUCGGAAGGAACACCAGUGGCGAAAGCGGCUUCCUGGUCCAGCACCGACGUUCAGGCACGAAAGCGUCGGGGAGCAAACAGG
rnacentral:rRNA from 1 species